AGAGGGGAAGCCAUCCUGUGGCUCUGGCCCCCCCACCACCCCCCCACCCACCGCCCGCCCGCCUCCCCCACCGCUACCACCACCACCUCCUCCUCCUCCUCCUCCUCCUCCUCCUCCUCCUCGGCGGCAGCGUCCUCCUCCUCACCGCCUCCCCCAGCCCCCCAAACCCCUGGGCCACCCCCCCUCCAAAACCCCCACCCUCGGGGCGGCCGUCUGAGGAGGGGGGCCAAACCAGCCCUUAAAAUUUUCUUGGAAAAAAAAAUUGAGAGACUUUUUUCCUUCUUUCUUUUCUCCCAAGAGCACAAGAAAGAGGAAUUUUUAAAAAAAUUUUAUUCCUCUUCCUGCAUGAUCUCCAACGUUGAUGAAGUAGAAGAAACUGAGCUCUCAUGACAGAGAAAAGUAACUGGGACUGAGGAAAAAAAAAAAAAAGAAAAAAGAGAGAACCAGAAGAAUUUAUCACCAGAAAUAUUACUGUCUCUUCAGUUCUGCUCAAAGACUGACAGUGGUCAAACAGCGUGGGCGCGCCCCUCUCCUGCCCGGAGUUCAGAGGCUGGGGCGACCUGAACAGGCGUGCAUUUGUUUAUUGCUACUCCAGGCCUGUGCUGUGUGGCUGUUGGUCAGACAAUGGGCUAGAUGCCCAAGUUCCCACGUGGCAGUAGGUUCCUGAAUGAAGAAUAUCCAGUACAUGAGCUGUGCACUUGUACUUGAAUGUCUAGCACUGGGCGCCCAAGACACAGAUCAUCCAGCUUUGAAAUUCCACCUGCUUCUUUACCAAAAAGCCAGGUGCUCUCACUGCCCAUCACAGCGGCUGCAGGCAGGCCCCAGUGGUCUCCAGGCUCGGCCACGAGGCCGUGUGUGCGCAUCCAGGGUCCUUCACCCCCAGCUCUGCCGGGCAGCCAGGUCAGAGGCAAGUAUGGCGCUCACCAGUGUACCCUGGGACCCAGCACCAGAGGCAGGGAUGGCGCUGGUCACGCUACCCGGGGAGCCAGCACAGAAGGCUAAAGCUCAGGAGUGUCUGCCGUAGAAACAUGGCAGCUGUCACACAGGGAGGCAGAUGGGCAAGGCAGGCUCUGGAGGUCCUGGGACCACUGCUUUUCUC